rnacentral:rRNA from 1 species
ACUCCUACGGGAGGCAGCAGUGGGGAAUAUUGCACAAUGGGGGGAAAACCCUGAUGCAGCCAUGCCGCGUGUGUGAAGAAGGCCUCGGGUUGUAAAGCACUUCAGUAGGGAGGAAGGUAGUGUAGUUAACACCUGCACUAUUUGACGUUACCUACAGAAGAAGCACCGGCUAACUCCGUGCCAGCAGCCGCGGUAAUACGGAGGGUGCGAGCGUUAAUCGGAAUUACUGGGCGUAAAGCGCAUGCAGGCGGCCUGUUAAGUCAGAUGUGAAAGCCCGGGGGCUUAACCUCGGAAUUGCAUUUGAAACUGGCAGGCUAGAGUCUUGUAGAGGGGGGUAGAAUUUCAGGUGUAGCGGUGAAAUGCGUAGAGAUCUGAAGGAAUACCAGUGCGAAGGCGGCCCCCUGGACAAAGACUGACGCUCAGAUGCGAAAGCGUGGGGAGCAAACAGGAUUAGAUACCCUGGUAGCACAGAG